GAAUGGGGAAACCCAGUGUGACUCGUCACACUAUCAUUAACUGAAUCCAUAGGUUAAUGAGGCGAACCGGGGGAACUGAAACAUCUAAGUACCCCGAGGAAAAGAAAUCAACCGAGAUUCCCCCAGUAGCGGCGAGCGAACGGGGAGGAGCCCAGAGCCUGAAUCAGCAUGUGUGUUAGUGGAAGCGUCUGGAAAGGCGCGCGAUACAGGGUGACAGCCCCGUACACAAAAGCGCAUGUGCUGUGAGCUCGAUGAGUAGGGCGGGACACGUGGUAUCCUGUCUGAAUAUGGGGGGACCAUCCUCCAAGGCUAAAUACUCCUGACUGACCGAUAGUGAACCAGUACCGUGAGGGAAAGGCGAAAAGAACCCCGGCGAGGGGAGUGAAAAAGAACCUGAAACCGUGUACGUACAAGCAGUGGGAGCACCCUUUGGGGUGUGACUGCGUACCUUUUGUAUAAUGGGUCAGCGACUUAUAUUCUGUAGCAAGGUUAACCGAAUAGGGGAGCCGGAGGGAAACCGAGUCUUAAUUGGGCGUUAAGUUGCAGGGUAUAGACCCGAAACCCGGUGAUCUAGCCAUGGGCAGGUUGAAGGUUGGGUAACACUAACUGGAGGACCGAACCGACUAAUGUUGAAAAAUUAGCGGAUGACCUGUGGCUGGGGGUGAAAGGCCAAUCAAACCGGGAGAUAGCUGGUUCUCCCCGAAAGCUAUUUAGGUAGCGCCUCGUGAAUUCAUCUCCGGGGGUAGAGCACUGUUUCGGCUAGGGGGCCAUCCCGGCUUACCAACCCGAUGCAAACUGCGAAUACCGGAGAAUGUUAUCACGGGAGACACACGGCGGGUGCUAACGUCCGUCGUGAAGAGGGAAACAACCCAGACCGCCAGCUAAGGUCCCAAAGUCAUGGUUAAGUGGGAAACGAUGUGGGAAGGCCCAGACAGCCAGGAUGUUGGCUUAGAAGCAGCCAUCAUUUAAAGAAAGCGUAAUAGCUCACUGGUCGAGUCGGCCUGCGCGGAAGAUGUAACGGGGCUAAACCAUGCACCGAAGCUGCGGCAGCGACACUCA
rnacentral:rRNA from 1 species